GGAAGAAAAAAAAACGUGUGUGCAAAAGGGCUGCUACAGCAGCAACAUUCCCCUCUGCAGCCCCCAAUUCACGCAAGGCAGCCACUUUACGCCUCCACCCAUCUAUAUCAGCCAACAACCCUUUGUUUCUCCCUUAGACACCAGAAAAUUGAGGGAAAGAGAUAGAGCUUGCAAAGCUUCUACCGGAACUUCGAAGAGUUCUUCUCCUGCUGAAAUCAACAAACAGCCUCAAACAUAUAACAUUUUACAAGGAACCAAGAGAAUCAGUUAACCGAACUAGAAAGAAAGAACCAUAGCUUACUACUUUUGCAUUUAUACCAAGAGAUGGGGACCAACCUUCGUCGAUGAGAACUUCGGAAUCAGUCGGAGGCUGACUGCCUGUUCGUUGAGACAAAGGAGCUCCGACGACAACACAGUACGGCGGAGGAGACCCCGGCCACAGUGGCAGAGCUCUGCUGCUCGCCAGACGAGAUCGGGAAAGAACCCGGUGACGACGGGAAUUUGCGGAGACCUUUGGGCGAAGGGCGGCGUCAACUUUGACCAAAGUUACAGAGGCGACUUGCCUGAACCAAGAAGAAGGGACAGAAUGAGGUUGAGCCCGGUUCUUGAGCAGAGGACAGAUUUCAGCGGCGCGGCGAUCUCUGGCCAAGGCGGACGCGACGGCGUCGAACAAGGGCGGAGACCCGCGAUUCGGACGGAGAAACCGGGGCUCGACUUUCCUCCCCAAUUGUGUGUCUUCGUUGAGACCGAGAAAGCGAGGAGAUUUUGGCCCUGAUUUGAGUUCCACUUGAUGUUACUAGAGGAAAGAGGGCAGAGCCGUUGAAGGCGGCGGCGUCGCCGGAAUUUCAGAGCAGCGGCGGAGACGGUUUCACUCAAUAGAGAGGAAACUAAGGUCGACCGCGAAUCUGUGCGUGAGGAAGAUCGAGAUAGGGGAAUAGAGGCAUCAACCUCGCCGGGGCCGUUCGCGGCGGAGCUGCGGAGGCGGCGGACGUCCAGACAAACGGAGGCUCAGCGUGGUGAUCAGCGGCGGCGGCGCUGGACCCCUCGCCGAAAACAGAUCGAGAGAGAGAGAUGUUCCGAUUUUGAGGAAAGAAAAAAAAGAGUUGUGUUGACUGUUGAGCCGAUUUGGGAGAAGAAACGACCGCCGCUCAUCGAAAGUUCAGGGAGGCGGCGGUGAUUUCCGAUUUGGGAGAGCAGGGGCUCGCGCCGGCGACGAGAAGGCGCCGGAGCCGGCUGGAGGCUGAGAACGAGAGAGAGAAAAGAGAGAGGGAGCCGAUUUUGAGACUAUAGGGAGAGAGAUCGAUUUUGAGGGAGAUGAGAGUUGGGCUCUUGGGCUUUAGUUUAAUGGGCCUUUGUUAUUUAUUUAAUUUGGGCUUUUCCCUUUUAAUUGUAAUUGGGCCGAAAAUUGGGCUUUGAUUUAUUUUACUUUGGGCCGAAUUAUAUAACUCUCUGGGCCGAUUCUUUUAUUUAAAACCCAACUGCAUUUUUGUA